UACGUAGGUGACAAGCGUUGUCCGGAUUUACUGGGCAUAAAGAGCGCGCAGGCGGUCGAUCAAGUCGAGUGUGAAAGCCCCCGGCUCAACUGGGGAGGGUCAUUCGAUACUGAUCGACUCGAAGGCAGGAGAGGGUAGUGGAAUUCCCGGUGUAGUGGUGAAAUGCGUAGAUAUCGGGAGGAACACCAGUGGCGAAGGCGACUACCUGGCCUGUUCUUGACGCUGAGGCGCGGAAGCUAGGGGAGCAAACGGG
rnacentral:rRNA from 1 species